rfam:Vigna angularis cultivar Jingnong 6 chromosome 7, whole genome shotgun sequence.
CUGAUUGCUGAUGGAGCAUCAUCAAGAUUCACAAGCUUCAAGGGGUUUUGUUUGGGGUGGUCCCUGAUUGCUCCCAAAUAAACUUACCCUUUGAUAUGGGAAUCUUGAUGAUGCUGCAGCAGCAAUAAA